CAUGGAGUGGAUCAGCGGCAGAUCGCCCGGCUCGGACCGGGGGCGCGGGUUCGAGUCCCGCCUCCAUGUCCC
rnacentral:tRNA from 1 species